GACGAACGCUGGCGGCGUGCUUAACACAUGCAAGUCGAGCGGUAAGGCCCUUUCGGGGGUACACGAGCGGCGAACGGGUGAGUAACACGUGGGUGACCUGCCCUCAGCUCUGGGAUAAGCCUGGGAAACUGGGUCUAAUACCGGAUAUGACUCCAUGACGCAUGUUGUGGGGUGGAAAGCCUUGUGCGGCUGAGGAUGGGCCCGCGGCCUAUCAGCUUGUUGGUGGGGUGANGGGCCUACCAAGGCGACGACGGGUAGCCGGCCUGAGAGGGCGACCGGCCACACUGGGGACUGAGACACGGCCCAGACUCCUACGGGAGGCAGCAGUGGGGAAUCUUGCGCAAUGGGCGAAAGCCUGACGCAGCGACGCCGCGUGA
rnacentral:rRNA from 1 species